rnacentral:rRNA from 1 species
UACGUAGGGUGCGAGCGUUAAUCGGAAUUACUGGGCGUAAAGCGUGCGCAGGCGGUUUUGUAAGCCAGGUGUGAAAUCCCCGGGCUCAACCUGGGAAUGGCAUUUGGGACUGCAAGGCUGGAGUGCGGCAGAGGAGACUGGAAUUCCUGGUGUAGCAGUGAAACGCGUAGAUAUCAGGAGGAAUACCGAUGGCGAAGGCAGGUCUCUGGGCUGACACUGACGCUCAUGCACGAAAGCGUGGGGAGCAAACAGG